UACGGGGGGGGCAAGCGUUGUUCGGAAUUACUGGGCGUAAAGGGUUUGUAGGUGGCCCGCUAAGUCACACGUGAAAUCCCUCAGCUUAACUGGGGAACUGCGUGUGAGACUGGCAGGCUCGAGGGCAGGAGAGGAACGCGGAAUUCCUGGUGUAGCGGUGAAAUGCGCAGAUAUCAGGAGGAACACCGGUGGCGAAGGCGGGACUCUGGGGCCGAUACUGACG
rnacentral:rRNA from 1 species